AUGCGGCAGCCACUCAAGAGCCCGGCCCCUGGACGAAGGCACCGUCCAAUCGCGACCAAGAGGCGCGGCGGCGGGGCGGCCAUUGGUCCCUGUAAGCGGCCCGGAGCAGCAUGUUGGGCUGAGCGCGGCUAUAUAGCUGGCGGCGGGCACGCGUGCCGCGGCAUCGCGCUAGGGACGCCGCCACCUAAUCCCGCGCAUCAGCCCGGUCCUCCCGCUCAGCCGCGCAGCUUCCUCCUUUCCCGCCCUUCCCGGUCACCUGGGCGCGAUCAGCAUAGGAAGACCUGCAGUGGCAUCUGUGCGAGCCCGUGGCAGACUCCGGAGAAUGGAGGUUGCAAGUGGGGUUUUGAAUGACAAAGGAGGACUUGGCUUUCUUCGAAACUAAACGGAUUCCUAUAUGGAGAGUUGAUAGAUGCGCCUUCAGGUUAGUUUCUGGA
rnacentral:lncRNA from 1 species